rnacentral:rRNA from 1 species
UACGUAGGGAGCGAGCGUUAUCCGGAAUUAUUGGGUGUAAAGGGUGCGUAGACGGGAAGACAAGUUGGUUGUGAAAUCCCUCGGCUUAACUGAGGAACUGCAACCAAAACUAUCAUUCUUGAGUACUGGAGAGGAAAGUGGAAUUCCUAGUGUAGCGGUGAAAUGCGUAGAUAUUAGGAGGAACACCAGUGGCGAAGGCGACUUUCUGGACAGAAACUGACGUUGAGGCACGAAAGCGUGGGGAGCAAACAGG